UACGUAGGGUGCAAGCGUUAAUCGGAGUUACUGGGCGUAAAGGGCGCGUAGGUGGUUGUGUAAGUUGGAUGUGAAAUCCCUGGGCUUAACCUAGGAACUGCAUACAAAACUGCAUAGCUAGAGUACUGUAGAGGGUAGUGGAAUUUCCGGUGUAGCGGUGAAAUGCGUAGAGAUCGGAAGGAACACCAGUGGCGAAGGCGGCUACCUGGACAGAUACUGACACUGAGGCGCGAGAGCGUGGGGAGCAAACAGG
rnacentral:rRNA from 1 species